rnacentral:lncRNA from 1 species
GCCAUGCUGCAGGCUCCGCUGUGUUUCUGAGGGAGGCUUUGGUGGUUCCGGGUUCCGUGCUGAGACCAGCUGCUAGGAGCUGUGAGGAGAGAGGGCGAGCUGGGGAUCCGCGCCAUGGUGAGCGGGGCCGCCGUCCCCACGCGGGGAGGAUCCGCGGGAGCCCGUGUGGGGUUGUCCCGGGGUGCGGGAACCGUCUGUUGGACGCGGCGCCCGGUGUGAUUCCGUUCGUUCACCUGAGGUUACUGAGGGUCUUUGCCCCUCGCAGGCGGAAACCGGACCUCUCCCUGGCACAGGUCCCCUGGCUGCGCCUGCGCACAGCCUGAGAAAUUGCUUGGAAACUCUUCGCGUCAUUCUGCAGGGCGCGCGCAUGCGCGGCUUUUAUUGUCAGGGAAGACAAGUGUUCUGACUGGCAGAGCUCUAGUUUCCUUAGCGUCUUCUACAAGUUCUUACUAGGCACUUGACAUUCACGCGUAGGGUACAUCUACAGUGAAUUCUGCGCAGGUCUAAAGACUGUGUCAUUAACACAUUCGCAUGUGUUAAUUCACGUGUGUUAGUAAGGCCAGACCCACUGUGUUUCCCUGCCUAAGUUGUCAAAAUCGACCGAAUAUUAAUUGCGAUUUUGUUCUAAUUGUUUUUUUAUGUUCUGCUGAUCUUUUUAUUCUUUCUCAAACAGCACAGUCUUUAUCGCAGGUGUAGGGUAACUUAGAAGUCAGACGGUGUCUCUGUGCUGUUUAUUCAGCCUUGUGUGCUCAUGUUUUCAUUCAUGAUGAUGUUUUGUCAUCUGUUUUCUGUCGUUCAUUGCAGGAAUCGUUAGACUCUUCAUUUGUUGGAUCUAUAGCUCAGAUUCUGCACUAAAAUAAUAUUGAGACUUCUUGUCUACAAUCCUUGAAUUUCUCUACUUUGGUUGAUUUCAUUGAUUGUUUUUAUAACAUAGUUACAGUUUUGGCUCCAGACAUUUGUCACAUUUCUAGGUAUUCCUGUAUUCAUUCAAAGGGACAUGUAAGUGUUAUGAGGGUAUGUGUUUUUUAUUUACUAAAUUUCUUUCAUGUGCAUGAGUGUUUUUGCUUCAAUGUAUGUGUUCAUCAGUUGGGUGUUUGGUACCCACAGAAAACUAAAGAGGACAUCAGAUGCUCUGCAACAGGAGCUAUGGAUAAUUUUGUGCCACCAUGUUAAUGCUAGUAACAAAUGAUAUUAGCAUGAUGCAUGUUAGAACAAUAUCAGUUGUCUCCUUUAUCCACUUGUACAUGGGCGCUGCCCCUGCCUUUAAUGAUUUAAUAUCUUUUUAAAUAUUCAGUGUUUGCAUUUCCAUAUGCCAAGGUUUCUAUUACCACUUGUCUUCUUUCAGAGUCUGAGACAGCUUUGUUCAUAGCUGAUGUUCUUUGUAAAACAUGAGGCCCAACCAGUCCAGGUAGGGCUUUUAAAAAAAUAAAUUUAUGAGAAGGUCUCUUAUGUUGAUUCAGGUUGCCUUCAUCCCACUAUGUGGCUAUACAGGCCCUGUUCCCUUUCAGAGUCAACAUCCUCAACUCUUGGAUUAAAGGUUUGUAACAUCACACGGUUCU